UGAUCCCAUGGCUCAGAUUGAACGCUGGCGGCAGGCCUAACACAUGCAAGUCGAGCGGUAGAGAGAAGCUUGCUUCUCUUGAGAGCGGCGGACGGGUGAGUAAUGCCUAGGAAUCUGCCUGGUAGUGGGGGAUAACGUUCGGAAACGGACGCUAAUACCGCAUACGUCCUACGGGAGAAAGCAGGGGACCUUCGGGCCUUGCGCUAUCAGAUGAGCCUAGGUCGGAUUAGCUAGUUGGUGAGGUAAUGGCUCACCAAGGCGACGAUCCGUAACUGGUCUGAGAGGAUGAUCAGUCACACUGGAACUGAGACACGGUCCAGACUCCUACGGGAGGCAGCAGUGGGGAAUAUUGGACAAUGGGCGAAAGCCUGAUCCAGCCAUGCCGCGUGUGUGAAGAAGGUCUUCGGAUUGUAAAGCACUUUAAGUUGGGAGGAAGGGCAGUUACCUAAUACGUAUCUGUUUUGACGUUACCGACAGAAUAAGCACCGG
rnacentral:rRNA from 1 species